GACGAACGCUGGCGGCGUGCUUAACACAUGCAAGUCGAACGGUGAAGGGGUCUGCUUUUGUGGGCCCUGGAUGAGUGGCGAACGGGUGAGUAACACGUGAGUAACCUGCCCCCUUCUUCUGGAUAACCGCAUGAAAGUGUGGCUAAUACGGGAUAUUCUGGGUCUGUCGCAUGAUGGGUCUGGGAAAGAUUGCGCCUUUGGGUGUUUUUGGUGGGGGAUGGGCUCGCGGCCUAUCAGCUUGUUGGUGGGGUGAUGGCCUACCAAGGCGGUGACGGGUAGCCGGCAUGAGAGGGUGGACGGUCACACUGGGACUGAGACACGGCCCAGACUCCUACGGGAGGCAGCAGUGGGGAAUAUUGCACAAUGGGCGCAAGCCUGAUGCAGCGACGCCGCGUGAGGGAUGGAGGCCUUCGGGUUGUAAACCUCUUUCGCCAGUGAAGCAGGCCUGCUCCUUGUGGGUGGGUUGACGGUAGCUGGAUAAGAAGCGCCGGCUAACUACGUG
rnacentral:rRNA from 1 species